CUUAUCAUAUCGAAAAGAUAAUGAAACAAUUCAAGAAAGAAAAAUAAAUAAUUUGUAACUUUAAACAUAAUAUAGGAACCAAAUACCUACAAAAAUUAAUUAAUGAUAGAACAAUCAUCUUCAUAGCCUCCGCAAGUACGCAAGUUGGUCAUUAAAAUAAUCAAAUUCAUUAUAGCACUCAAGUAAUUUGUAAACUAAUAUUGUAUCAAUUAUCAAUAUUGUUAUUUUUGUACGGUUUUUAUUUACGAACACAAAUCUUUGUAACUAAUUUAAAUUUUGUUUAAAUUUAAUUUUUAAAUUUGUUUUUUUUAGAAUCGACAACGCAAAUCGAAUAAUAUUAUAGUGUAAUAUAUUGAAUAUUUAAUAUUUGUAUAAUAAAUUAUAUAAUACAGCAAUAUACAAUAUAUAAAAUAA